rnacentral:rRNA from 1 species
UAGUAUACGCGUAGACUCAUGCGGUAGUGACCCCCCUUCACAGGGCGCGUGUCGCACGUAUGUUAUACGCACAGGUCUCCGAUAGCAACGAACGUGACCGUACUCUAUUGUUGCAGCGACAAUACCCUUAAACGGGUAUUACCGCUGCUUAGCGAGAUUCGUCUUGCAUUAAACUAUAGAGACCGCUGUUUCUUCUUUAAACCAGAGGAAGGAUACGGCAAUAACAGGUCUGUGAUGCCCUCAGAUGUUCCGGGCUGCACACGUGCUACAAUGAUCAUUGCACUGUGCAUCUAACCCAAUGUGCGCGGACGCCGCCGUGCGUAUAUACUUUAUUGUGUAUGCGUAUCGUGCGUGCGACCGCGCCGAACCUGCUUCGAAAGUAAACAUUUCCAGCGGGUAAUCCAUUAGAAGUAAUGACUCGCAUAGACCAUGGCACACUAUAUGUACCCGCGGGUUCUACCCGGCUCGCCUUUGUGUGAGUGCAGUGCGUAGCUCGUUGUUUGGUACGUGCCACUCCGUAUUAAUUCAUACGUGGGGAUAGAUCAUUGUUUAAUUGUUGGUCUCGGUCUUAACUGGGAAUGCCUUGUACGGGUCUUUGGUUCAACAUACCACCCGGAAUACGUCCCUGCCCUUUGUACACGCCGCCCGUCGCUCUUACCGAUGGAUUAUACUAUGAAUCUAUAGGACUGCCAAAGUUGCUCUCGGGCGCUUAGUGGAAAUAUAUAUGAAUAGUG